CCUACGGGAGGCAGCAGUAGGGAAUCUUCCACAAUGGGCGAAAGCCUGAUGGAGCAACGCCGCGUGGGUGAAGAAGGUCUUCGGAUCGUAAAACCCUGUUGUUAGAGAAGAAAGUGCGUGAGAGUAACUGUUCACGUUUCGACGGUAUCUAACCAGAAAGCCACGGCUAACUACGUGCCAGCAGCCGCGGUAAUACGUAGGUGGCAAGCGUUAUCCGGAUUUAUUGGGCGUAAAGGGAACGCAGGCGGUCUUUUAAGUCUGAUGUGAAAGCCUUCGGCUUAACCGGAGUAGUGCAUUGGAAACUGGGAGACUGGAGUGCAGAAGAGGAGAGUGGAACUCCAUGUGUAGCGGUGAAAUGCGUAGAGAUAUGGAAGAACACCAGUGGCGAAAGCGGCUCUCUGGUCUGUAACUGACGCUGAGGUUCGAAAGCGUGGGUAGCAAACAGGAUUAGAUACCCCUGUAGUC
rnacentral:rRNA from 1 species